GGUUAUGGGUUAGCCGAUCCUGAGAGACAGGUUAAAUUCCAUUGGAUUGGAGCUUUGGCUCUGUUUCUCGAAAGGGAAGCUGGUUAGUAUUCCAGCGCCGAGACGUGGAUAAUAUGUGGCAACACAAGUGAACUCGGACACGCCAUAGGGGACCCCAGGAAGCGUUGUCUUUUCUUUUUAACAGUUUGACUUACCCUGGAAUCAGAUCAUCUGGAGAUAGGGUUUUCAAACUGGAAUAGCACCUUGUCUAACAGGGUGUCUGGAGUGUUCUCGCUGGCCCUUGAAAAUCCGAGGGAAUUU
rnacentral:rRNA from 13 species